UGCGUAGGCGGUUGGUUAAGUCUGCUGUGAAAGCCCUGGGCUCAACCUGGGAACUGCAGUGGAAACUGGCCAGCUAGAGUGUGUCAGAGGAUGGUGGAAUUCCCGGUGUAGCGGUGAAAUGCGUAGAGAUCGGGAGGAACACCAGUGGCGAAGGCGGCCAUCUGGGACAACACUGACGCUGAGGCACGAAAGCGUGGGGAGCAAACAGGAUUAGAUACCCUGGUAGUCCACGCCCUAAACGAUGCGAACUGGACGUUGGGCACACUUAGGUGCUCAGUGUCGAAGCUAACGCGUUAAGUUCGCCGCCUGGGGAGUACGGUCGCAAGACUGAA
rnacentral:rRNA from 1 species